CCAACACUGCAGUCCAAUUGGUGGUGGUUGCCAACCGCCUUUAAACACAAAGACGAUGACGACGACGACGACGAAGAAGAAGAAGAAGAAGAAGAAGAAGAAGAAGAAGAAGAAGAAGAACAACAACAACAACAACAACAACAACAACAACAACCCGACGGCCAUAUUUGGGUUGACAUGCUUCUACAACGUUACAGACAACAUGGGAUUAAUCCCGAUAUCUCUCUUCCGAGACAAACGAGAUGCAUUCGACGAAAGAGAAGAAGAAUUGUAUGUGGUGAAACCAUUGAUCCCAACUCUUCACAGUCGGUUGCUCCCGAGCAUCCAAAGACUGACGAAGGAAUUGAUUGUAACCACUGUGGCACUGAUGAUGAACAACCUGAAACUGACUUACCAAUGAAGGAGCUGUGUUUCAACAUAGUAGUUCUCAAGAUGGUGGGGUGGUUUUAGAACAGGAUGAUCUAGUGGACAGUGGAACCGAGGGUGAUGUUCACAAUGAAGUAGACCAAGCAGAUUCAGCAGACGUGAUAUGGUGAUGAUGGAUCUGAUCGUAACGUUGAAGAUGAUAACACUUGGCAUAUUGAUGGCAACAAGGAAGGCGAGGAUGAUUUGGGGCAAGAAGAGGGUGGAGACUCAGGACAAAAUGAAGAAAUGGAUCAGGGGGAUGAAGAUUGUCAUGACAAUGGAGUUGACUCUGGAGGAGAUGAUGAAGAUGAUGAUUUUCAGCAUGGUGAUGGGGAGGAAGGAGAUGAACCAGAUGAUAAUUACCGGGGAUUCAGCCUUGAAGAUGGAAAUCUUCCAAUUUAUCCAGAUGCACCCAUCACCAAGUCACAGAGUCUACUGCUGAUAGUGUCCUGUGUCUUGCGGCAUGGUCUUUCUGAUAGUUCUUUGGAUGAUCUUCUUUCUUUGAUGAAUAUACACUGUCCAAACAGUGUUCCUGCUGUACAAGAGUGUUGAAGAUUCAAUGUACGAGGUUCACUGUUAUUGCAUGGAGUGUACUGCAUAUCUUGGCCCCGAGAAAUUGUCAAGGAAUUGUACAAACUGCGGCAAUGAAUUCAGUGCAGACAUCUCACAUGCAGAAGGUAGUUUUUUUUUCUCAGGAUGCCUGUCAAAACAUAGCUGCAAAGAAUGACGAAAGUACCAGAAGUGGCAGCUGCCCUUGAAAAUCGAAAUAUUGAUGAACUCUUGAGAGAAACUAACAUAAAUGACAUUGUUCAUGGUAUACCUUCAUAAAGACUGCAGGAUAUAGCACCUCGAAGUGAAAUAACCAGAUGCCCCAGGUCUCUCAAAACGCAGAAGUAUUGAAAGGUAUCUGAAUGGCGAGCUCUCCUGUUCUAUUCUUUGGUGGUAUUUCAGGAAAUUUUACCUGCCGUGUAUAUGAAACACUGGUUCUUAUUUGUAUUUGGUAUUUAUGACCUCAUGAGGGAGACUGUUUUUGAAAGAAAGGUUCGUGAGAGCAACACUUGCCUCAGGAUGUUUGUUCUAAUGACUGAGCAGUUGUAUAGAAUAAGACAUUGCACUUUCAGUGUCCACUCAUUGAUUCAUUUUGCCCAGUCAGUUAUCAGCACUGGCCCUUUAUGGGCAACUUCCACCUUUGUUUUUGAGGGAUACAACAGGACUUUGAUUAGGUGUUUCCACAGUACCCAGGAAGUUGGUUUGCAGAUUUGUGAGACAUUCUCUCUCAUGAAGGUUAUGACAGAGUUAGCAGUUAAUUGCAUGGAGGAGAACACUGAUGUGUCUGUCCUGUACACCUCAUUGGCCAGCAGACACACUAAAUCAAAAUGCACAAACAUGUUUUCAAAUAAUUUGUGUGCUCUUGGCAAAGGAGAGCAAGUUAUCCUGCCUCCAUCAAAGUUACUGGCUGCAAGCAGACUGACAGGGAACCAAGUGCACACUUCCGCCAUUGUAUACAAGAGAUUUAUUUUUCAUCACCAGCAGUGACUAUUUUUGAUCUGCUCAGCCUUGCAACUGCUAUGUUGCAUUUACUCAUGGUGUGUAUAAAUAUGGAAGAAUUUAAUCUUUUUUCUGUGUUAAGUUGGGACCAGACUGCAUGAGUGAUGAUGGUUUUUGUUUGUGUGAUAAAGCAAAUAUCAUACUAGUAAAGCCAUUCAGCAUUACACGAAGACUAUCAUUUGUUGAUGCAAGGCUAGGCUGUUCAUCUGACUUUCUUGUAAAUAUUGACCAACAUGCAGAUAAUCCAAAUAUUUGUAUUUAUCCAGGAGACAUCCUGCAAAAAUGUAUUUUUAUGAAAUCUAAUGUUUCAUCUUACCUGUGCUCACUGCCUUCUCGGUUCUACUGGGAUUAAGUUGUGAAUUGAUGGUUGCACAUGAAUGUUUUACAUGUUAGCAGAACUUGGCCCUCUAUAGAAUUCUAUAGUACAGUCUAUAGAAUUCUCCAGGUCUGUCUAUAGAAUCCUAUAGGACAGCCUGUGAAAUUGUUUUAAUAGAUUUUGUCAUUACAUUAUUACAAAAGUACAUAAGACUAACAGAACCCAAAAGGUUAGCUUACAGAAAUCCUAAAGCUCUGUGAACACAGAUUUUGCUAUUAGACUGCAGAAUGUCAAAUACAUGUGCUGUAUUUUCUCAAUCAGAAGCGCAUGUGCUUACGUAAAUGACAGAGGGGUUUCUGUGGUCAAAAUAAGUAAUAUUUUAACAUUUCGGUACUUAAAGAAUGGAAUUUUUGGUUGAGAUGCGCUUCUAGUGGUUUGCUUCUAAUAGAAGAAAUACAGUAUGCAUUUGUCAUGGAUUGAGAUAAAUGAUAUAGCCCAGGACUGGUAAAUUUUGACCAGCAGAAAUUCUGCACACGAAUAGACUUUUGUUAAUGUGUGACUGAAAAAUGUAAAUGUGUAUGCUCAAAUUCACAUAUAAGCGUACAACUACUAGGACAGCUAAAAUAUGGAUUUCACUAAAAAUAUCAAAUAAAAUUUAUACGUGACAAAAUCAAAAGGCAGAGUUCAAACAUGCAAAACAUUUGUGUAGGAACAUUAUUUUAGCAGACAGUUUCAAAUGGACGAAGU